rnacentral:rRNA from 1 species
GAUGAACGCUAGCUACAGGCUUAACACAUGCAAGUCGCGGGGCAGCAUGGGGGUUGCUUGCAUUCCCCGAUGGCGACCGGCGCACGGGUGAGUAACGCGUAUCCAACCUGCCCUUCACCACGGGAUAACCCGGCGAAAGUCGGACUAAUACCGUAUGUUGUCCAUUGACGGCAUCCGAUUUGGACGAAAGGUUUGGCGGUGAAGGAUGGGGAUGCGUCCGAUUAGCUGGACGGCGGGGUGACGGCCCACCGUGGCGACGAUCGGUAGGGGUUCUGAGAGGAAGGUCCCCCACACUGGAACUGAGACACGGUCCAGACUCCUACGGGAGGCAGAAGUGAGGAAUAUUGAUCAAUGGGCGUAAGCCUGAACCAGCCAAGUAGCGUGCAGGAUGACGGCCCUAUGGGUUGUAAACUGCUUUUAUGCGGGGAUAAAGUGGCCCACGUGUGGGUUUUUGCAGGUACCGCAUGAAUAAGGACCGGCUAAUUCCGUG